AUUUAUAUAGCACAUUUAAAGACGUGAGUACUAUGUUAAAAGAAAUAUUUCACACCUAGUGUAAAAGUUAGAUAAAAUCAACACAGCAAUAUCAAAUGGAAAAACCAAUAGCUUAAAAUGACAAAUCACUAACUAAUCUAAAAUGCAAGAUCAAAUAAAUAAGUUUUCAAUCGUGUUUUAAAAGAUUGAAUAGAUUCCGAUGCGCGAAUAUCAGCUGGAAGACUGUUCCAGAGGUUAGGUGCAGCAAUGGCAGAGGCACGAUCCCCUCUGGUUUUCAUCCGGGACCUAGGUUGCACCAAGAGCAUUUGACUCGAUGAUCAAAGUGCUCUCGUAGUAUACAGGCUGAGAAGUUCAGUUAAAUAGCAAGGCACAAUAUUAUUUACGAUUUUGAAUGUAAGCAAUAAAAUCUUAAAAUCAAUCCGAUAUUUGAUGGGCAGCCAAUGUAGGUCAGCAAGGAUUGGGGUAAUAGAAUCAAACCUAGUACCAGUUAAAAGGCGUGCUGCUGCAUUUUGGACAAGUUGUAGUUUAUGAAGAAGGGUAGAUUGGAGGCCCAGGUAAAGGGAGUUGCAGUAGUCUAAUCUUGAAGUAACAAAUGCAUGUAUAAGUUUUUCAAGAUCCAUUCGCGGUAUGUAAUGGUUAGCCUUAGAGAUUUGUCGUAGCUAGUAAAAGCUAGACUGUACUACAGAGGACACUUGUUUAUCAAGUUUAAAGGAGCUGACCAAAAUAACACCUAAGUUACGUACUGUAUCAGAGAGGGAGGUAGCAAAGGGCCACUAAUAUAUCGGCUAAUUGUCCCCGAGGGAUAUGGCUAUCAAAGACAAUAAUUUCCGUUUUCUUUUCAUUUAGAAAAAGGGAGUUACUCGAUAACCAGCCUUUGACCUCCCUCAUACAAUCAAGAAAGCAGUGUAGUGAAGAUGGGGUAUCGUCGGUUAGACAAAAAUAGAUUUGAAAAUCAUCAGCAUAAAAAUGAAAAGAAAUGUUAUAUUUGUCAAAUAUGGAGCCCAAGGGUAGCAUGUACAAUGAGAACAACAUAGGGCCAAGAACAGACCCCUGGGGCACACCACAGUGAAAAGGGGUAACAGAGGAAGAGUAGCUCCCCAUCGUAACAGAAAAGGACCUUUCCAAAAGAUACGAUUUAAACCAUUCAAGAGCGUUCCCUGUAAUGCUUACUAAAUAUUCUAGUCUUGUUUUGAUCUUCUAUUGCUGCUGAUUCAGUCAAUUUUGGGUGAAGAGAGACAAAACCUGCAGCUUCAGAAUCUAGCGCAAAAAAAGCAGCCCGUUCUCAUUCCUGGGGCGUAGCAUACCAAUGUUUUGUCACGUCCUGCGGCGUUCGUGAGGAAUGCGAAAGGUGACCUUCCGCGUUCUUAUGGUAUGUGACGGGUUAUGGAUGAAUUGCAGUGGAAUGAUGGUAAGCCCCGACGGCUUGUCCAUGUACGUGCACGGGAUGGAAGAUUACAAGUGAAUCUUCCAUGGCUACAUGAAUGGAUGGACAGAAUAAAUAAAAAUCCUCAUCCUGUCACUGGAUCAUCUGACCAUUAUGCCCUGUAUGACAGAUUUCAUGAGGUAAAUACAAAAGAUCCCAAUGACAUAUUACAUAGAAUUCAACUUGUCCCAGAGCUGAAAGGCUGGUGAGCAGUCAAGUUGUUGAACAGUUCUUUGUUAUCAUGAGGAAAAAUAAUUACUUUUGAAGUAAUACGCGUCCAUUUGCACAUGUGUUUUUGAUGAGAAAUAUAAUUCACCAUUAUAACACUGUCACCAACAAGAAACCUCUGGAGAGGCAGUUAAGACAUGGUCGACUUGGACAGAUCAAUAUCUCACUGUCUGCACUGGGUCAAGUUGUUGUAAGUAAACGAUAUAUGGUUUUUCACAAGACCAGAAAGCUGUCAUUGUUCACAGAUUACAUUUGUUCCUGAUUGUGUGUAUAUUGCUGUUUUCUUUGUGUCCCUAGCCCCACAGGUGUGCAAUAAACCCAGAAAAAACACUAAAACUGUCUUGAACCAGUCAGCUUCAAAUUUCUUAGUUUGAGUAGUGUUUGUUAUAUAUAGGUGAAAUGAUAAUCUUGCAUUCAUUAUCUUGCUGAAGUUGAGGGUUCAUAACAGAUUUCCUUACCUGCUGUUUUAAAAGCAUUCCCUUCUUCUAUAAAUAGUGCUUGUUUUUCUUGCAUUUGUGUUCUUUAAUAUGUAGUGUUUUGUAGUGUUAUAAAACCUGUGGAAAUCCCUAUACAACCUCUGGUACCAGUUGAUGACAAUAAAGGCAAUAGAAGAUCAACAGCUGCAACUUUUCCUGAGCUGUGUGGACCACCGUGCAAAGCCCUGACAGCGCCUGAGAACAUUUUGGCCAGCCGUUCAUCGUGGUCUUUUGUGCCGCACCCUUCUCAACUAUGUUCUGGACAUCAGCAGGCCCAAAGAUGAGCUGAUUGCUGAAACGUCUAGUGGAUGUCUCACGCGGGCUGAUUUUUGGACUCCGGGUUUAAAUGAACAAUUGGAAUCUAUACCCAGUGACAUGUCGAAGAGGUUAACACGCGAGGAGCGGAUUGAAAUUGCAUUGAUAUCUGGUGAACGCAGUAACCGGGUCAUUGCAGCAGAUUUCAAUGCAAGACACCCUACGAGACCACCCAUCUCCCAUGCUACAGUUACCAAACUGCUUGCUAAG